rnacentral:rRNA from 1 species
CUCUGUGACUCCUACGGGAGGCAGCAGUGGGGAAUAUUGCACAAUGGCGCAAGCCUGAUGCAGCAACGCCGCGUGAGCGAUGAAGGCCUUCGGGUCGUAAAGCUCUGUCCUCAAGGAAGAAUAAAUGACGGUACUUGAGGAGGAAGCCCCCGGCUAACUACGUGCCAGCAGCCGCGGUAAUACGGUAGGGGCAAGCGUUAUCCGGAAUCACUGGGCGUAAAGGGGUGCGUAGGCGGUUUUCAAGUCAGAAGUGAAAGGCUAUGGCUCAACCAUAGUAAGCUUUUGAAACUGUUAAACUUGAGUGCAGGAGAGGAAAGUGGAAUUCCUAGUGUAGAGGUGAAAUUCGUAGAUAUUAGGAGGAACACCAGUGGCGAAGGCGACUUUCUGGACUGUAACUGACGCUGAGGCACGAAAGCGUGGGGAGCGAACAGGAUUAGAUACCCUGGUAG